CAAUACAACUGGCGCACGGCGCACGGGUGCGUAACACGUGGGUAACCUGCCCUUUGGUGGGGAAUAACUCCGCGAAAGCGGAGCUAAUUCCGCAUAAGAUCCGCAAGGAUGAAAGCCGCAAGGCGCCGAAGGAGGGGCCCGCGCCCGAUUAGCUAGUUGGUAGGGUAACGGCCUACCAAGGCUUUGAUCGGUAGCUGGUCUGAGAGGAUGAUCAGCCACACUGGAACUGAGACACGGUCCAGACUCCUACGGGAGGCAGCAGUGGGGAAUCUUGCACAAUGGGCGAAAGCCUGAUGCAGCGACGCCGCGUGGGGGAUGAAGCAUUUCGGUGUGUAAACCCCUUUCGAUCCGGACGAAACCCCGCAAGGGAUUGACGGUACGGAUAUAAGAAGCCCCGGCUAACUACGUGCCAGCAGCCGCGGUAAGACGUAGGGGGCCAGCGUUGUUCGGAAUUACUGGGUGUAAAGGGUUCGUAGGCGGUGCGGCAAGUUGGGAGUGAAAUCUCUGGGCUUAACCCAGAGGCUGCUUCCAAAACUGCUGUGCUUGAGUGUGGGAGAGGCGCGUGGAAUUGCAGGUGUAGCGGUGAAAUGCGUANAUAUCUGCAGGAACACCCGUGGCGAAAGCGGCGCGCUGGACCACUACUGACGCUGAGGAACGAAAGCUAGGGGAGCAAACAGGAUUAGAUACCCUGGUAGUCCUAGCCCUAAACGAUCAGGACUUGGGGUGCCACCCGUUCGGGUGUCGUCCCGGAGCUAACGCGUUAAGUCCUGCACCUGGGGAGUACGGUCGCAAGACUGAAACUC
rnacentral:rRNA from 1 species